ACCCUACUCUAAUAAGGCUUUAAUAUCUGGAGCUCAUAGGUGGGAGAUAAAGUAUACAUACUCACAAGACAUUUAUUGUAUAGUCAAACCAUGGAUCCAGAGUAACAAGCCAAUAAGUCAAAUCAAGAUGUGCAUGUGUGGCGAAUAAAUGGCGUAUGGUGAUAAUGGUGAUGACAAUGGUGGAUGUCUAAUUCUACUUUUGCUCUUUGAGGGGAUACAUACCUUUCUUGCUUUUUGAAACUUUGUGAGGAGAAUGACAUGCUCGUUUUUUUCUUUCCUCUCAGGUGGGUAUCUUGUACCCCUAAUUCUACAGUCGAACACUUGUCCAUUUUUACCUCUCGUCUCACUUUUUCUUUUCUUUCAAGGUUCCGGGCACUUGCCCCUUUUUAUUUCCUCAUAUUAUUUCUCUUUUUUUAGAGCACUCAUCUCUUGAGAUAAUAUAGCAAGUUGUAGUAACAAGAUAACUUGAGCAUUUAUUUCAUAGGGAAAAAUAGAAAUGUUUUUGGCCAUUCUCUACCGGAUUAGGAGUAGAAUGUUUUUUAGGUGGUUCUGGAGAUGGAAAUGGGUGGAUAUAUGUGGAUGGUACUUCCGGAGUAGAAGCAGCAUAUGUGAGUGAACAUGCAAGUGAAUCUUGAUUUAACCACAUGACAAGCUCCUAAGGGUCUACACAGCGUGACCACACUCAAUGCUUAUUAGCAGUAAAAAGUAAAUGUGUGGCUCAAAGUCUAGCAAGCAUGCAUAUAUGGCUGU
rnacentral:lncRNA from 1 species